rnacentral:rRNA from 1 species
GAUGAACGCUGGCGGCGUGCUUAACACAUGCAAGUCGAACGGGAUCGGCUGGAGCUUGCUCCGGCCGUGAGAGUGGCGAACGGGUGAGUAAUGCGUGUCCGACCUGCCCCAUACACCGGAAUAGCUCCUGGAAACGGGUGGUAAUGCCGGAUGCUCCGACAUGACGCAUGUCGUGUCGGGAAAGAUUCAUCGGUAUGGGAUGGGGUCGCGUCCUAUCAGCUUGAUGGCGGGGUAACGGCCCACCAUGGCUUCGACGGGUAGCCGGCCUGAGAGGGCGACCGGCCACAUUGGGACUGAGAUACGGCCCAGACUCCUACGGGAGGCAGCAGUGGGGAAUAUUGCACAAUGGGCGCAAGCCUGAUGCAGCGACGCCGCGUGCGGGAUGACGGCCUUCGGGUUGUAAACCGCUUUUGACUGGGAGCAAGCC